rnacentral:rRNA from 1 species
UGCAGUCGAGGGGCAGCACGAGAUUUCGGUCUUGGUGGCGACCGGCGCACGGGUGCGUAACGCGUAUGCAACCUACCCUAUACAGGGGGAUAGCCCAGAGAAAUUUGGAUUAAUACCCCAUAGUACUAUUGAGUGGCAUCACUUAAUUUUUAAAGAUUUAUUGGUAUAGGAUGGGCAUGCGUAAGAUUAGAUAGGUUGGGGAGGUAACGGCUCACCAAGUCAACGAUCUUUAGGGGUUCUGAGAGGAUGAUCCCCCACACUGGUACUGAGACACGGACAGACUCCUACGGGAGGCAGCAGUAGGGAAUAUUGGUCAAUGGGGCAAGAGCCUGAACCAGCCAUGCCGCGUGCAGGAAGACGGGCCUUCUGGGUUGUAAACUGCUUUUUAUACGGGAAGAAAAAGGUCUUGCGAGACAAAUUGGCGGGUACCGUAUGAAUAAGCACCGGCUAACUCCGUGCCAGCAGCCGCGGUAAUACGGAGGGUGGCAGCGUUGUCCGGAUUUAUUGGGUUUAAAGGGUACGUAGGCGGCCAAUUAAGUCAGUGGUGAAAGCCACAGCUCACCUGUUGAACUGCAUUGAUCUGAUUGGCUUGAUUCUGUUAAGGUAGCGGAAUUGAUGGUGUAGCGUGAAAUGCAUAGAUCCAUCAGAACACCGAUUGCGAAGGCA